UACGUAGGUGACAAGCGUUGUCCGGAUUUACUGGGCGUAAAGAGCGCGCAGGCGGUCGUUCAAGUCGAGUGUGAAAGCCCCCGGCUCAACUGGGGAGGGUCACUCGAUACUGAUCGACUCGAAGGCAGGAGAGGGUAGUGGAAUUCCCGGUGUAGUGGUGAAAUGCGUAGAGAUGUGGAGGAAUACCGAUGGCGAAGGCAGCCCCCUGGGAUAACACUGACGCUCAUGCACGAAAGCGUGGGGAGCAAACAGG
rnacentral:rRNA from 1 species